GAAGAAUUUUUUUCUGAUACCCAGAAGACUCGGGUUACAUUGAGAUAAUUUUCUCCAUCCAUUAUCUUCCUCAAGAUGGAAUAGCACAUAUGCGGAAAGUGUUCUCCUUGAAACACAUGUUUGCCUCCACAUUCCUGCCUUGAAGCCUUGAAUUUCUGCUCCAACUUCCAUCAGUGACAGACUGUUUCCUGGACAUGAUGGCCAUGAAAGGAGUAAAGAACAUUUGCUCUGCCAAAGUAUGCAGACUUGCUGACAUAUGCUGAAAUACAGAUGUCAUCUGA